rnacentral:ncRNA from 1 species
AUAUAAUAGGUUCAAUAUAUGCGUAUAUCGCUUGAAUAUGGCAAGCAGUCUCUACCCUAAACCAUGAAUUUAGGACUACGCAAAAGAACCAAACGUAU